UACAGAGGUCUCAAGCGUUGUUCGGAUUCAUUGGGCGUAAAGGGUGCGUAGGUGGCAUGGUCAGUCGGAUGUGAAAUCCCGGGGCUCAACUCCGGAACUGCAUUCGAUACUGCCGCGCUAGAGUACUGGAGAGGAGAUUGGAAUUUACGGUGUAGCAGUGAAAUGCGUAGAUAUCGUAAGGAAGACCAGUGGCGAAGGCGGAUCUCUGGACAGUUACUGACACUGAGGCACGAAGGCCAGGGGAGCAAACGGG
rnacentral:rRNA from 1 species